rnacentral:rRNA from 1 species
GACGGAGGAUGCAAGCGUUAUCCGGAAUGAUUGGGCGUAAAGCGUCCGCAGGUGGCAGUUUCAAGUCUGCUGUCAAAGACCGGGGCUUAACUUCGGAAAGGCAGUGGAAACUGAACAGCUAGAGUAUGGUAGGGGGCAGAGGGAAUUCCUGGUGUAGCGGUGAAAUGCGUAGAGAUCAGGAAGAACAUCGGUGGCGAAGGCGCUCUGCU